CAUUAGAUGGCUGAAAGAAAGCAAUGGUCUCUUAAACCAUUUUAUAACAAUUAUCACCUGUUUCUAAUG
rnacentral:tRNA from 1 species